GCCCCCGUAGCUCAGCUGGACAGAGCGGCGGCCUUCUAAUCCGCGGGUCACAGGUUCGAAUCCUGUCGGGGGCG
rnacentral:tRNA from 1 species